UAGAUGUGAAUUUGUCGACAAAGAGUUGAUAAUCAAUACAAUACUAAAAGCCAGAUAUCCUCAAUGGAGAGGGGGUCUACGUCAGAUUAAUAAUUCAGGCCAAUCAUAGAGUUGUAUUGUGCCAUGUCAUAUGUUCCUCAUCGACUUCAUCUUCCUCCUUUUCCUCGAAGAAAUCCCAACCGUUUCACCUCUUCUCCUCUGUAACAUUAAAAUUGUGACUCAUAAAGCUUUAUCAUUUAGUGCAAUCACUAUAUAAUCUACCUCUUCACAUCCAAUUUUGGCGAGGAGAAUAAGAACUACAACGUAGAAUCUAUAUUUCUAUGUCAUCAACUCUGGAUCAAGUGCUAAAUCUCUGUCAUCAACCAAACACUGAUCAAGAAGAAAUCAGCAAACUCCCAUUUUCAAAAGCCAAGGAUAACAGAAAGUCAUCAUCCAACUUUCCAGACUUCUGCAACUGGUCUCCAUGAGCUCCAGACUACGUGUUUAUCCUAAUCGUUAAGUUCUCAUUCUUUGGGUUCUUGAUCUUCCAUUACAUCAGAUUCAUCACCGUUAAAUCCUUCAAGAUUUUCUAACAGCGAGAUGGCUUCACCGAAAUGGAACUGAGGUGAAACACAGUCUGGAAACUCAAAUUCCUAUUGGCUCCACCUUAUCACUAUCGGAAUCCAAAGAAGCCAGUGCCGUCCUAAUACUUUGAUAGUGAUUAAGUUGAGGCUUGAGGCGUAUUGAUGGCACAACGACCAGAUUGUUCUACUUCAUAUGAUAGUUUAGUCGGAUCCUGUAACACACUUUUGAGUAUAACCAUUUACAAGUACCUACUGCUUAAUGCACGAAAGUCUUUUGUCUCCACUGGAAGGUCUCCCAUCGUCCUGUAUUAUAACAAUCAAGAGAGUUAGGCAUGGAUAUAAGAUCAGAACGAUUGUUGGUUUUGAAGCAUAACCCGUGUUCAGAUCAUGUCAGAGCUCCACUGACACCACCGAUGACCAUAGUCAGAAUCAAGUACAGUUCCGUCUACCAAGGGUAAGUGACAAUCACUUCUAGGGAACCAUCUCAGAGUGAAUUUGCAACUGGUCUCAGCUUAAAAAUCUGUAAGGCACAAUAGAACACAAACUGUGUGUGAUCUGGCGUGUAGAAAAGGACUUGAUGUCCUCGACCUUCCACCAGCUUAUCAGACCCAUCAGCUUGCCCAGAACUUAUCAAAUUUUGGCGAGGGACGUUUCCGUCUUCACUCCAUGAGGGACGAAGAAGCUAAGGCUAAACCAUUAAGCUCGACCUGGAGGAGAACGAUUGUUGAGUUCAUCAAGUUAGAUUUCGGUAAUGUUGUGAUGGUGACUGGAGGUAGAAACAGAGGGCGUGUUGGUGUGAUUAGAAACCCUGUGAAGCUUAAGGGAAGCUUUGAGACUACCACCACAUACAAGACUCAACAGGACAUGAGUCUGCAACAAGGUUGAGGAAUAUGUUCACGCUAGGCAAAGGGUCAAAGCGUUGAAUGUCUUUUAUUAAGGGUUUAGGAUGUUAAUCAUUUAUGCAAUUAAAUUGAUUUGCAAAUAAUAUAUAUUCACAAGUCCAAGUAAAUUUUACUCAUUUUCAAAUCGAAUACAGUAAAAAAAUUCAUUA